rnacentral:tRNA from 1 species
GGGUCUGUAAUUCAGCGGUAGAAUAUCCGGCUCCAGACCGGAAAAUGAGGGUUCAACUCCCUCCAGGCCCA